GACGAACGCUGGCGGCGUGCUUAACACAUGCAAGUCGAACGGAGUGGCGAACGGGUGAGUAACACGUGGGUGACCUGCCCUGCACUUCGGGAUAAGCCUGGGAAACUGGGUCUAAUACCGGAUAGUGUGGGAUGGGCCCGCGGCCUAUCAGCUUGUUGGUGUGGUAAUGGCCUACCAAGGCGGCGACGGUUCGCCGGCCUGAGAGGGGGGACGGCCCCAAUGGGCCUACGAGACGGACCAGAGGGCAACGGUGGGCAGCAGGGGGGAAUAUUGCACAGUGGUGGGAAGUGUGUUGAGGCGACGCCGCGUGGGGGAUGAACGCCUUCGGGUUGUAAACUCCUUUCGCCUUAGACGCGGUAGAUGGAGAAGAAGCACCGGCUAACUACGUGCCAGCAGCCGCGGUAAUUC
rnacentral:rRNA from 1 species